AUUAGCUUCCAACUUCCAAGUUCCAGACAGCUCCAGUUUACACGCAGCCAUGUGGUCCAUCUUGGUUUGGAGCCGGGGUCAUCAGACAAAUUUUUAAAGUUGAGAUGACAAACCCUCAAGUGUGCUCACAUGGCUCCUUGUGACUGCAACAAAAAUAAAGCCUGGUCUUUUAUAACGACAAAACUACAGAUACAAUAUGAAGAGGGCAAAUAAAGUUUUAUGAAAGUCUGCUGGAGCUAGUUGAGAAUUGGGAAUUAUGGACCUGUCUACAGGAUACAUUCCAGAUUUCCUAAAAGACUCUUUCACACGUGCUAAGGAUAAAGUCUGGUCAAUUGCAGUGCUGGAAAUAAAAAUCAUACCCAUUAUUCGAGAAGGAAGAAUUUAUAAAGUGAAAAGUAGUUAUAAGAUGCUUAAUGAAAGGAUACAGCUAGUAACUACUGAGACCGAUGGAAAUCAAUACCUUGUUGAUUUGAAAAUCAUGAAAAUAUGAAUUAUUCUGCCAAGGUGAAGAGGAAGCGUGGAAUCAUAAAUUUUGGUUGUGUAUAUCAUUCUAUUUAUCAGGGACCAAAGAUGGCAACAUCAAGGGGCUGAAGCAGAUGAGUAGUGUGUGGUGGUAAGCCAAUAAUGUGGAUGUUGUUUGCCUUAGCCUUUUCAAUCAGGUCGAUACUAAUGUGUGAGUCAUGGUUGUCAAAUAUUAAUAACAC